rnacentral:rRNA from 1 species
UACGAAGGGGGCUAGCGUUGCUCGGAAUCACUGGGCGUAAAGCGCACGUAGGCGGAUUGCUAAGUCAGGGGUGAAAUCCUGGAGCUCAACUCCAGAACUGCCUUUGAUACUGGUGAUCUUGAGUCCGGGAGAGGUGAGUGGAACUGCGAGUGUAGAGAUGAAAUUCGUAGAUAUUCGCAAGAACACCAGUGGCGAAGGCGGCUCACUGGACCGGUACUGACGCUGAUGCGCGAAAGCGUGGGGAGCAAACAGG